CAGUAGCCGCGGGAAUACAGAGGGUGCGAGCGUUAAUCGGAUUUACUGUGCGUAAAGCGUGCGUAGGCGGCUUUUUAAGUCGGAUGUGAAAUCCCUGAGCUUAACUUAGGAAUUGCAUUCGAUACUGGGAAGCUAGAGUAUGGGAGAGGAUGGUAGAAUUCCAGGUGUAGCGGUGAAAUGCGUAGAGAUCUGGAGGAAUACCGAUGGCGAAGGCAGCCAUCUGGCCUAAUACUGACGCUGAGGUACGAAAGCAUGGGGAGCAAACAGGAUUAGAUACCCCGGUAGUCCCUGUCUCUUAUAC
rnacentral:rRNA from 1 species